rnacentral:rRNA from 1 species
UGGCAGACGGGUGAGGAACGCGUACCUGACCUGACACUCGAUGGGGGAUAGGCGUCCGAGAGGGGGUUGAAUACCGCAUACGGUCGUCUCCGAGGGGAGAUGAGGAAAGUUGGCCUCUGCGUGCACGCUGACGUCGAGUGAGGGGGGUGCGUCCUAUUAGCUAGCUGGUGGGGUAAUGGCUUACCAGGGCAACGAUGGGUAGCUGGUCUGAGAGGAUGAUCAGCCACACUGGGACUGAGACACGGCGCAGACUCCUACGGGAGGCAGCAGUGGGGAAUUUUGCGCAAUGGGGGCAACCCUGACGCAGCAACGCCGCGUGAGUGAUGACGCCUUUCGAGGUGUAAAGCUCUGUCAGAAGGGACGAACAGCGUCGGCGAUGAAGAGUCGUGGCGUGUGACGGUACCUUCAGAGGAAGCCCCGGCUAACUCCGUGCCAGCAGCCGCGGUAAGACGGAGGGGGCGAGCGUUGUUCGGAAUUACUGGGCGUAAAGCGCGCGUAGGCGGUGGAUCAAGUGUGGCGUGAAAGCCCUCGGCUUAACCGGGGAAGGGCGUCGCAAACUGAUUGACUUGAGUGCCGGAGGGGGAGGCGGAAUUCCUGGUGGAGCGGUGAAAUGCGUAGAGAUCAGGAAGAACGUCAGUGGCGAAGGCGGCCUCCUGGACGGACACUGACGCUGAGGUGCGACAGCGUGGGGCGCGAACGGGAAUUGAUACCCCGGUAGUCCACGGCCGUAACCGAUGGGUACUAGGUGUGGGGCCGAUGAACGGGUCCGUGCCGGAGCAAACGCAGUAAGUACACCGCCUGGGGAGUACGCUCGCAAGGCUGAAACUCAAAGGAAUUGACGGGGUCCCGCACAAGCGGGUGACACAUGUGGUUUAAUUCGACGCUACGCGCAGAACCUUACCUGGCUUUGACAUGGUCCUGCGAUUGGCUGAAAAGUCAAGUUCCUUCGGGACAGGAUUGCAGGUGCUGCAUGGCUGUCGUCAGCUCGUCUCGUGAGAUGUUGGCUUAAGUCCCGCAACGAGCGCAACCCUUAUCCUUAGUUACCAGCACGUCAGGGUGGGGACUCUAGGGAGACUGCCGGUGUGAAGCCGGAGCAAGGUGGGGAUGACGUCAAGUCCUCAUGGCCCUUACGCCCAGGGCUACACACGUGCUACAAUGGGGGGGACAAUGGGGAGCGAUCGCGCGAGCGGGAGCGAAUCCCCAAACCUCUUCUCAGUUCGGAUUGGAGUCUGCAACUCGACUCCAUGAAGGUGGAAUCGCUAGUAAUCGCGGAUCAGCAUGCCGCGCCGAAUACGUUCCCGGGCAUGUACACACCGCCCGUCACACCACGAAAGUUGAUGAUACCCGAAGUCGCUGAGCAAACCGC